CCACCCUCAGAGCGCAUUUCGCGCACUGGUGUUGGGGCUCCUCAGUGAUGAGGUCCCCUAAAGCGAGUGGCGGACCCUUCUGGUGCUCCGAGCGCAGUACUGAACCUAGUUCUCUUCUCGCUCUGCAGCCCUAGGCGGUGCCCUGCCGUUAACUGGCACAUGACGUGCAGCAGCUCCGGCUGCUACCAUCUUUCUAA
rnacentral:misc_RNA from 1 species